CCCACGCCCCAUCGACUCUCUCGGUCUCUCCUCCUCACUCCCUCGUCUCCCAACCCUAAACUUUUACCCUCGACCCCCCGCAGCUGCCUCCCCGAGCUCCUCAUCCCCUCCACUCCCUCGACGCCGCCUUCUCCCAACCAUUGGCACCUCCUAGGAGAGAUCCGCGCGGUGGGGUGGCCGGGGAGUGUGCGUCGUCCAGAGAGACAAGGCGGCUCCCAAGCAGAGGGUCCAGCAGCGCUGGCUUGUCCUCUUCUACGCCGACGCUGCCCACCCCUCCUCAUCCCGUGCGGGCGCGGAGGUGAGAUUCUCCGGCGUCGGCGGUGACCUGCAGUCAAAGGGCAACUGCGACGGCGCUCGUUUCCAUAUGCAGAAGAGAGAGAAGAUGAGAGGGAGAGAGAAGGAAGGACAGGAAGGAUAAAGACAGAGAAAAGAGGAGAGGGAGGUGCAGCGGCGGACAUGAGAGGGCCACCGGAACGAUCACCGCCGGCUCGUCAUCAUACACAUCGCGCUGGAGAAAGAGGAGAGGGAGGUGCGGCGGCGGACGGGAGAGGGUCACCGCAAGGAGCUCUGCAGGCUCGUGGUCGUUCACACGGCGCUGGGGCAGAGAUUCUUCUGUACAACCCUCACGCCCGCAGGAUGCUGAGGAAAUCCUCGAAGGCAUAAAGAUCACACGGACACUUCCUUUUUAAAGGUUUUUCUUCGCCGCUGAUGGCAAGCUCCUUUCUUGCUAAUUGUGAUAUCUUUUGUACAUGGCCUCUCAGCAGAGUAAGAAAAUAGACCUGCGAUGUUUCUUUCUGAUUUUCUUGCAGUUUUCAGGGGAUAUUUUGGGCUUCUAGAUUGAUUGUUUCAUGAAGCAUUAUAGAUCAGACCAUCAGAUUGAUGUGUAGUUUAUAGUUAAGUAUCAAGUGGGUGUGGGGCAAUCUUAUUUACCCAAGUAGCCAUGUUUGACAAAUCACCAUCCAGUUUGUUGUAUGGGUGAUUCUGAUGCACAAGUGGAACAAUGAAGAAUAAUGAUUCUCCUUAUAUAAUUACAUGAUUAAUUAAACCUCAGUUCCUCAUGUUUACUUCGCGGGACUGAAAAGAUUUGUACGAAUUUAUCAAUCAUGUGUCAGCCUUCAUUUGCAUCUCAUCCUCAAAGGAAUGGGAUAUGAUUUAAUUCCAUUAGCAAAUUAUUCUGGUUACACUUCAAGCUUGGGUCAGUAUUUUUUAUUGUGUAGAUAACAACACGUGGACCUCCUUCAGAGUCAUGAGAAGGAAAACUUUGGGUUAAUCAUUUAUUCUGGAUUUGUGAUUUAUGAUCUUCAAGUCAAGGAUGUCGAGUUCUCCUGCUUGCUCUGGUUUGAGCCUUCUAUGCUCUAUUUGGCCUGUAACUUGUGUUGCCUUAUUGGUAAAGAUUUAAAUUACGCUUCUAUAGACUAUUUUAUUUUCUUGGAGAAGAUUAUGUUCAUUGUUUUAUGGGUUGAUCUAUUUGUCAUUUGUACCUCGGUUGACGGAACAUCUGAUAUUUGAAACCAUGAAUUAGGGAUCAUAGUGUUAUUAGAGAAUAUGUAACUCGGGAACAGCGACAAGUUAUUUAGUUGUUGGUCAUGACGAUACACUGGUUGAGACGAUAAAUCUUUAUUCACCAAUGCCCACUAUUAUUAGGAUCUGCUUUGCAAAAAUAAGUUCUCCCAUAAUCUUUUUACAGAAUCCAUAAGAAACAAGUUGUGUGAUAGAGCUGUUACUCCGCAGGCCAGAAUGAAGUUUCUAUAUGCCCUACCAUACUCACAUAAUUUCUGUUCUAAUUGGGUUUCUGCACCAUGGGUGCAACGGGACAUCGGGUUCCUUUCUAUUGUAAAUCUUCACCAAGUUGCCAUUUGUUUUUGUGGAGAUACAAACCAGAUGUAUGACCAUGAGUGAAGGAAUGCUAUUCAAAGUUUGGUACUUCUGUUUAAGUAUUAUUUAUGAUUAAGUCUGUAUUAGCUUAACAGACAAAAUGUAUGGGAUUGAUUUUGACGAGGCAAGUUGUUCCUUUCUUGGCUUCUUGGUCCUGUUUAUUCAUGUUUUCCUACCAUAGCUUCCAUUUUUCUGCCUCAACUAUUAUUUGAUUGGUUCCAGGACCCGAAAUCAAUGGUUAUUGAACAAAUUAAUUAUCACUCCGCUGAGGUUGAAGGUGAUCACACCUUGAUUGCUGGUGAUGAUAUGAUUCAGUCAAGAUGUGAUGAUGGCAGCUUUGUGGGUGAGAGCAUGUAUGAUGAUGGCAGCUUGGUACAAAGGAGCUGUCGAGCCAACUUUCCUGUAUUUCGCACAUGAGCUGAAAGAGGUCAAGUGCUAAUCCCAUUGUAUGCAAAAAUAUAUGCGACUGUCAAUAUUUUUCCUAUGGUCUAUGGUUGUAAUGUUGGUGUUGUAAGAUGUUGAGCGUCUUUGAAACCUUCCGAAUUCUGGGAUUUUCUUUCUAUUGGUAACGUUGAAAUAAGUGUGGCUCAGUGUCGCUAUGUGUUGGUAAA